UGCCCAUGCAAUCAGCCUUGCAGCGGAGAGAUUACUGCCUUCUAAUACAGAAGAAAUCCAGUUCUGUCUGUUCUAGAGGAAGUCCCUUCAAAUUACUCAGCAUUCCCUGCUGGACAGCUGUCUUCUAACCAGCUAUCUGAGAGCUGAUGGAUGUCUUUUCAUCAAAUCUGCUUUGUGCUCUUCUGCUUUCACAUUUUUUCAAAUGGCACUAAAUAUAAUGGAAAGGGCCCUAUUCUACUUCCACUAUGUCGUGUAUUCAUCAUCUUUGCUGACUGAACAAUAGAAGAUGCUGAAAACAUUUGUCAAGGCUAAGCCACAAAAGAAUUCAAGAGGAAAUAAAAUGUAUUCAGAAGAAUGUAAAUGGUUUUGUACUUUGUGAAGAAGAGUGAAACCCUUUCAUAGAGGAAGACUGUGAAGAUCUCUGAUCUUGUCCAAAUGCAAAUAGAAAACUAAAGUCAUCUUUUCCAUCUCCAAAUGUGUUCGAAGAUGACUCGGAGGGAAAGGAAAAUGUAAAGCCAUCCUCACUUUCUGAUUUUCCAAAUAA